ACCUGGGUGGCUCAGUUGGUUGAGCAUCUGACUUUGGAUCAGGUCAUGAUCUCACGGUUCGUGAGUUCGAGCCCCACAUCGGGCU
rfam:Felis catus isolate Cinnamon breed Abyssinian chromosome X, whole genome shotgun sequence.